rnacentral:lncRNA from 1 species
GAUGACGUCAGCAGAAGACAAUCACGUGGACCACUCGCAGGGUGACACGUGGAUCGGGUGACAGAGAGAUCAGGGAGCAGAUCACCUAGAGCGGUGAUCGGAGGUCAUCCAAGUGGCCACCAACAGACCAGUUGGCAGAGAAGUCAGGGGACAGAUCACCCAGAACGGUGAUCGGUGGUCAGUAACCAAGCGGUCACCAACAGAUCAGUUCCCAGAUGAACACCUGGGGGCAGGACGCGAGAAGCAACAGAGCACCGAUCAGUCAUCGAGUGCAUGGUCAUCGGGGUCUCGUGUUACACGCAGUUAAGCUGGGACAGAGGUUCCCAGCAAGAGCGUUACACACGGACCUCGCAUGAACAUGUCCUAGAGAAUCGUGCAUGAGAGUGGCCUGAGGGGGCUAGUAAACCGGUCAGUGAUUGGUGACUCCCUCAACCCAUUACGUGCAUGACAUCGUGAAGGGGGAAUCGUUUGCGCAGAGAGCAAUGCCUGGUGAGUGUGCCUAGACCAGCCACACCUGGCGUUCUCCUGAGAGUAUGUGAUUUACCCAGAUGAAAGGAAUGCGCUAAGUUACCCCGCAAGGGAANNNNNNNNNNNNNNNNNNNNNNNNNNNNNNNNNNNNNNNNNNNNNNNNNNNNNNNNNNNNNNNNNNNNNNNNNNNNNNNNNNNNNNNNNNNNNNNNNNNNNNNNNNNNNNNNNNNNNNNNNNNNNNNNNNNNNNNNNNNNNNNNNNNNNNNNNNNNNNNNNNNNNNNNNNNNNNNNNNNNNNNCACAGAAAAGCACAACAGGGUUCUGACACAUGCCAAAGAGGCAUAACAGAAUUCUGUUAGGCGCAGGUACAGAGGGAGGCAUAAAAGAGAAUCAGAGUGAGAUUCAGAGGGAGUUUUUUACACAAUGUUUUUACACACAUUGUUUUUCUAGUGAUUAUGUGAUCUAACUUGAGCGUCGGAGCGCCACCGGCCGCAGAGGCACCACUGUGUGUUUUUCAGGUUCUCAAAGAGACUAUCUGUGGAGCGGACUUGGAGGGCACGUGGUGUCAAGCUGGUGAGGAAGAUCGUGAUGAGGCAACGCUCUUGCGCUAAGUCAACCGGCAGGAUCAUUUGGCGCCCACCGUGGGGCACGUAUAAAACGUGAUUCCCAACCAUAGUUUGUGUUGGUGGUGCUUCGAGUGUUUUCUGUUCAGCUGCUCGCUAUCUCAGUCGACUCCUGGAGUUUUCACCGUUUGUUUGGAGUUCUUUGAGCUGCUGAGUUUGCUGCGGAAGGAUGAGGACAACGCGCUCCAGUUCAGUUGCGCCAUCAACCGACGAAGAUGCUGUGUCCAUGACGCAGGUGAUGGACAUGAUGAGGACGCUGCAGGAGAACGUGGCUGCAUCGCGUUCUGAGCAGGAAAGGAUGCACGAGGCGCUGGUGGCCUCGCAAGCAAGGAACGAAGAGCUCAACAGGAUCAACGAAAAGCUGCGCAAAGCCCUUCAGGAGCGGGAGGAGCGUGCGGCAGGGGACAGAUCCGCACCCCCAUCCCCACCACGCAGCUUUCCUAUGCCGUUUUCCCAAGAGAUCAUGGACUCAGUAGUCCCGGCUAGCACUGUAGCAGUGAAAGCGUUUUUCACUGGGGUGGAGGACCCUGAAGCCCAUCUCACGGCGUUUCAUACUCAGAUGAUGCUCUCAGGGGGCUCAGACGCGGUGUAUUGUAAGGUGUUCAUGAGCACCUUGAGCGGAACGGCGUUGGACUGGUUCGUCAGUAUACCCACUGCCCAUAUUACCACGUUCCAACAGUUUUCCAAGAUGUUUGUUGAGCAGUACAUGGUGAACAAGGCGCCACCUCUAGUGUCUUACGACUUGUUUGAUAUAAGGCAGUACCAAGGGGAGUCCUUGAAGGAUUUCUUGAACAGAUUCGGGGCUCGGAUAGUCCGUUUGCCAGGAAAGGAUGAGGAUAUGUUCGUGCACGCCUUCAAAAAGGGUGUAUUGCCUGGGCCCUUUAGUGAGUCGCUCAUCAGGAGCCACCCAGCCACGUUCGCUGAAAUCCGGCGACGUGCUGUGGCUCACAUCGCCGCCGAGAGCGAGGUCACCGAGAAGAGAGGAAAUGUAGCCCCAGCUAAACCGCGCACCCAAGCGAGGGUACAACCUCAGAGGGUGAUGGAGGCGGCGGCGGGAAAGAGGGAUCAAAGGACGCGUCACCCUUACGACCCUAAGAAAAAUAAGAGCAAGGGGCCAGGGCGCCCCAGGGAAAGUAAUCGCCCCCCGAGGUAUGAGUUCGUGAUGGGAUUAGCUGAUUUGAUCGCCAUCCCAAACAUAGCUGCCAGGCUCAAAGUGCCUGAGAAGACGGCGGAGAAGAUUUUGGGGCCAAAGCCAGACGCAUGGUGCGAGUUCCACAAGAGCUUUGGCCACUCUAUCAAUUCGUGUUUGGCCCUGGGGCACCAGCUUGCCGAGCUGGUCAAAUGUGGUUUCCUGAAGGAUUACUUGCUAGAGAAGCAAGCGGACCAAGCAUCAGGGUCUUAACCAGCGAGCAGCGGAGGGCAACAGCACGAGGUGCCUAUCCACGGCGAGAUCCACACCAUAGCUGGCGGAUUCUCCGGCGGGGGGUGCACAGCGUCGCAACGAAAAAGGUAUGCGAGGUCGAUAAUGUCAGUGGAAGCCUUUGAGGAUCACUCGCCCGAUGUGGAUAUCACGUUCACCAAAGAGGACCGCAGGGACGUGGUGCCUCACGACAACGACCCUAUUGUGAUCUCGCUUGUCACGGCGGGAAGGACCGUCCACCGGGUGCUGGUCGACCAAGGAAGCUCAGCAGACGUGAUGUUUUGGCCAACCUUUGAGAAGUUACAACUGUCCCCUGAUCAGCUAAGACCAUAUGGGGGCUGCUUGUACGGUUUUGUCGGCGACCAAGUGGAGGUGAGGGGGUAUAUCGAGCUGAGGACGACCUUCACCGACGGCUUGGCCUCACGAACGGAGAAGGUCAGGUACCUUGUUGUAAACGCCCCAUCAGCAUACAACAUACUGCUGGGGAGGCCAACGCUCAACAGAACAGGAGUUGUGCCUUCGACAAGGCACAUGAAGGUCAAGCUGCCGUCUAUGGAGGGUAUGAUCAUCACUAUCUGCUCCGACCAGAAGGAGGCAAAGAAGUGUUACGAAAACAACCUCAAGAACAAGAGUUAUGUGUGCCACGUGACCACAACGCCUCCCCCUGGGGUGGAGCCGGAGCGCAAACCCCGACGAGCUUCGGAUACGGCGUUAGAAGUAGCCGCCGAGCGCGAUGCGCCGAUGGGGAAUGUAGAGGCGAGGUCGGAGAGAAACUGCUCGGAGACCGCCAGAGAAACCGGUAUCGCGAGGGCGCUGAUUGCCAGCGAGAGGAAACCUCAGCCAAUAGAGGAAUGACUCGAGAAGGAGAUCAGUGGGAAGGUGUUUAAGCUGGGAAGGACCCUGGAUAGCAAAACGCAAGACCAGAUCGCCGAGGUAAUAAGUAGACAUUUGGAUGCGUUUGCGUGGGCUGCUUCAGAUAUGCCGGGGAUCGACCCCGAUUUCUUAUGCCAUCGUUUGGCAAUGGACCCCCAAGUCCGGCCUAUCCGCCAAAGAAGAAGAAAAUUCAAUGAGGAGAAGAGGCAAGCGAUCAAAGAAGAGACACGGAAACUACUUGCAGCGGGCCACAUCAGGGAAAUCCAAUAUCCAGAAUGGCUCGCUAACGUCGUCCUAGUCAAGAAGAGCAGCGGAAAAUGGUGGAUGUGCGUCGACUUUACAGACUUGAACAAGGCCUGCCCGUAGGACUCUUACCCUUUGCCAAGCAUUGACGCCCUAGUAGACAGUGCAUCAGGGUGCAAGCUGCUCAGUUUCCUGGAUGCCUUUUCGGGAUACAACCAAAUCAAAAUGCACCCCAUGGACGAAGAGAAGACCGCCUUCAUGACGGAAAGAUCGUGUUAUUGCUACAAGGUGAUGCCCUUCGGGUUGAAGAAUGCAGGGGUCACGUACCAAAGGCUGAUGGACAAGGUGCUCGCGCCCAUGCUCGGAAGGAAUGUGCAGGGAAAUUUCUGGGGUUUCUUCUGUCAGAGAGGGGAAUUGAGGCUAACCCCGAGAAGUGCGCCGCCAUUUUGGCAAUGAGGAGCCCCGCCAAUGUGAAGGAGGUGCAGCAACUCACGGGGCGAAUGGCCGCCCUGUCUCAAUUCGUAUCGGCAAGCGGAGAGAAGGGCCACCCAUACUUCCAAUGUUUGAAGAGAAACAACAGAUUUGUUUGGACAAAGGAGUGUGAGGAGGCCUUCGUAAAGCUCAAGGAAUAUUUGGCGAGCCCUCCAGUUCUGUGCAAGCCCCAAGACAUAACACCCCUCAGGCUGUACUUUGCCAUAACUGAAAGGGCGAUCAGCGCAGUGCUAGUGCAGGAUCAGGACCAGACCCAAAGGCCUAUAUAUUUCGUUAGCAAGGUGCUGCAAGGCCCGGAGGUAAGGUACCAGGCCCUAGAAAAGGCAGCAUUAGCGGUUGUAUUCUCGGCGAGGAGAUUGCGCCAUUACUUCCAGAGCUUCACGGUACUGGUGACGACUGAUCUGCCGAUCCAGAAGGUUUUGAAGAAGCCCGAUGUGGCUGGAAGGAUGGUGAAGUGGGCGGUCGAGCUUUCGGAGUUCGACAUCAAGUAUGAGCCCCGGGGAUCGAUCAAAGGGCAAGUCUUCGCCGAUUUCGUGGUCGAGUUGUCCUCAGAAGUGGCACAAAACGCCAAGGGUGACUUUCGCUGGGUACUCUCUGUUGAUGGGUCGUCCAACCAGCUGGGCAGCGGGGCUGGGGUCAUCUUGGAGGGGCCCAACGGAGUGUUGAUAGAGCAGUCAUUAAGGUUCGCUUUCAAAGCAAGCAACAACCAAACAGAGUAUGAGGCUUUGAUCGCUGGAAUCUUGAUGGCUAAGGAAAUGGGGGCGAGAGUGCUGAUGGCCAAGAGCGACUCGCUGUUGGUCACGGGACAAGUAACUGGCGAGUUCCAAGCCAAGGACCCGCAGAUGGCAGCCUACUUGGAGUACGUGCAGGAGCUGAGAAGAUCUUUCGCUUCAUUUGAAAUGGUGCACGUGCCAAGAGAACAGAAUGCCCGAGCUGACUUGCUAGCCAAGCUCGCCAGUUCGGGCAAGGGGGGUAGGCAGAGGACUGUCAUUCAAGAAACUCUGAAAGCGCCUCGAGCAUUCGUGGCAGACCACCAAGUUUUCCAUGUUUGCAGAUCAAUGGGAAGACCGGCGAUAAGCCAUAGAUCCCUAACACAAGAAACUCUGAGGGCGCCGAGGGUCAGAGCGCGCCCGGUAGAAGAAGGAGCAAGAUCGAUGCAGAUUUGCGCUGUCCACGAGCCAGACACGUGGAUAACGCCUUACCAACGUUAUUUAGUGGAUGGUGUGCUUCCAGUUGACUCAACUGAGGCCAGAAAAAUAAAGAAGAGCUCCAGCAAGUUUACCCUUAUUGACGGCGAGCUGUACAGGUUUGGAUUCACGCACCCCCUUCUUGUAUGCAUACACGGAGAGAAGUGCACGAGGAUUAUGGCUGAGCUCCAUGAGGGAAUUUGCGGGAGCCACAUUGGAGGUCGAUCGCUGGCGACAAGGACUAUUCGUGCAGGCUAUUACUGGCCCACGAUGAGAGAAGAUUGCAAGAGAUACGCCCAGCGUUGCAAGCAAUGCCAGCAGCACACCGAUUGGCACAAGGCACCCCUAGAAGAGCUGAAGUCGAUUUACAGCCCAUGGCCGUUCCAUACUUGGGGAAUUGACAUUCUGGGACCCUUCCCAUUGGCGAUCAGGCAGAUGAAGUACUUGGUGGUGGCGAUCGAAUACUUCACCAAGUGGAUCGAAGCGGAGCCAGUGGCCCAGAUCACCGCACACAAGAUCGAGAGCUUUGUAUGGAAGAACAUAGUGUGCCGGUUUGGUGUGCCUAAACGCUUGGUGUCAGACAAUGGGACUCAGUUUGCAAGUCACCUCUUGAAAAAGCUGUGCGAAAAGGUGGGGAUACAACAGGUGUUUGCAUCUGUCGAACACCCACAGACGAAUGGCCAAGUGGAGUCUGCCAAUCGGGUGUUGCUGAGAGGUUUAAAGAGAAGAUUAGAGAAAGCUAAGGGAUCGUGGGCUGAAGAGGUACCCCGCAUAGUUUGGGCAUACCAUACCACUGAGCAGUCAGGAACCCACGAGACCCCCUUCAGUUUGGUUUAUGGAUGUGAUGCGAUGAUUCCAGUCGAAAUCCAGGAAAGCUCGCCAAGAUUCCAGAACUUCGUGGCGGAAGACUCGAACGAAGAAAGAAGAAUGAAUCUGGAUUUGCUGGAUGAGGUCAGGAAGGAGGCGAGAGUGAAAGCCGAAGCGGUAAAGAGAAGAGUUGAGCGAAGGUACAACUCUAAGGUAACGUCAAGGCAGUUUAAAAGCGGCGAUCUGGUGAUGAGGAAGGCCCAUCAGUAUGAGAUGCAGAACAAGUUAUCGCCCAAGUGGACAGGACCGUUCAGAAUAACCGAGGCGCUCGGGAAUAGCGCCUACCGCUUGGAGACGUUAGAAGGAGGGGCGAUUCCUCGCACUUGGAACGCAACACAUCUCAAGUCGUAUUACAGUUAAAGCCUUGUAAGUAAAGACGAAUAUGAAGAGAUUCGAAUAGUUUCUGUUAAAACAAUUUCAAGGGGGCACUCUUUUUUCCCUAAGGAGGGUUUUUAAUGAGGCCACCCAAUAAAGAAGAGUUUUUCAAAGUUUAAAGCUUCUAUGUUUGCAUGCUUAUGGCUUCGAGAGUUUUAGGAAAAAGGCCUUAUUACUAGUAUGUGAUCUAGGGCAACAGUAAAAUCGUAUUGCAUGCUCUCAGUUAAAAGUUUUAAAGUCCCCAUCGCUUUUCGGCGAUCGGCGGCACAGUUAAAGUUGUAAAGUCCUCAUCGUCUUUCGGCGAUCGGAGGCACCAGCAAUGAUCAAAAGACCUCUCUGCACCAGCAGAUAGAGGCAAGAUUAAAAGUCCUCAAUGCGUCCAGGGAAGAGGAGAUGUAACCCCUAGGCAAAGUAGAGGCACCAGAUAAAGUCCUCCUCGACUUUGUGCGAGUGCAGGCGAGAUCAGAUUAAAAGACCUCUCUGCACCAGCAGAUAGAGGCAAGAUUAAAAGUCCUCAGUGCAUCCAGGGAAGAGGAGAUGUAAAUCCUGGGCAAAGUAGAGGCACCAGAUAAAGUCCUUCUCGCCGUUGAGCGAGUUCAGGCCAGAUAAAGUCCUUCUCGCCGUUGAGCGAGUUCAGGCAAAAUGAGCUGAAAGGUCAGGGGUGUUUGUGACCUUAAAGGGAAGGAAAAUGCCUUUCCCCCUUUAAGUGAAACAUCAAUGUUGACCCAGUAAGACCAGAUCAUUGUUCUGAAACUCAGGGAGGUAGAGAAGGAUCCGAAAGGCGCCUCUAUCCCCAGAUGAGGGAACAAUGAUCAGGUCAGGGAAAAGAAGAAAGGUAACAUCGCCAGAACCUUGCGGCGUGAAAGUUGAGACAGUGAAGGGCUUGUGCGGCGAGUACCAGAUUCGAAGAGUUCCGGGCGAUGACAGAAGUAAGGGGAAUUUCACUUGGCAGAUCAGGUAAACUGUAUCUUAAUACUAGUUUGAGUCAAAACCUGCUGCCUAGUAAGUGAUUUUAUGUUAGGGUUUGUUGCCUUAAGUUCACAAGUUUUAUUGAACGUCAUCGCCGAAGAAUUGAUAGUUGCUCAAGUUUACUUUGAGUUAACAGUUUGCCAAGUUUGUUAUAAGGUUAAACAACUUGCUCGAGUUAAAAGCGGUACAUGGAGGGUCAAGUUCAAGUAUUGCUGAGUUCACGCAGUUGAGCAAGUUUCGCCAAACAAGGUAUCACCUCUGACUAUCGAUGCCCUCUGUGCGCUUAGCGCUAGAGCGAUGGAGAAGCAAAGUGAAGUACAAAGAACGGUGACUGAUGAGUUGUUGGUGGGUACGCUGCCCGAAGAACGAUGACUGAUGAGUUGUUGGUGGGUACGCUGCUUGAGGAACGAUGACUGAUCAGUCUUGCCUUGUCGGAGGAAACUUUUCCAAACAAAUUCCUACACAACAAGCUAGCAGACAGGCUAUGCCUUGUCAUUCAUCCAGUACAAAGCAGUGCACAAGAACUGUUAAGGACGAAGCUAAGGGAGUAGUUAGUCGCGAUCAAAGUAGAGGCCAAGAUCAAAGAAGGCAGAUCGCGCUAAGCCUAAGCUGGUUAACAGUUAGUCGUGUGCAAAGAGAAAGACAAAGCUUAAGAAAAAUGCGGAGAGAAAGAUAUGCGUCUGAAACUGGUAUAUAUUAAGCGACAAAGUUUAUACAAGUUCAACUACAACGAAUUGUGCAGAAGUGCAAAAUUACAAAGAAAAAGAGAGAAAAAGCUCAAGGAGGAGGGAUGAGCUUUCCAUCUACCACUUCGUGAUAAAUGUUGAACUGUGAGAGGUCCAAGUCCGGGAGAACGCAUUGGAUCUGCUCGAGCGCCAGCUCGAAUCCGUCAGCAAGGGCGUCAGCACCCACAUUCAUAAGGUCGGCGUUCUCAUCCUCCAAUUUUUGCUUUGAGGCCUCCGCAGCAUUUUUCUCGGUGGUAAGGGCAGCAAGGGAAGAGGCAGCUUCUUCCAAUUGGCCCUUUGCCUCAGACAGCUUGCUCACCACCUCCUCAAGCUUCUUCUCCCCAGUAGCGGUCGCUUCCCUGGUAGACUCGAGCUCCCCCACUAGUUGUGAGUUCAGUUGGCGUAGGGAGGAGGUCUCGGCCCGCAGUUGCGCCACCUCGCAGUCCAGGGAGUUGACAGCUUGCCCCAUCAAGAUCUCAGUCUUGAUGGUCUCUUGGACUUGCGCGAAGUACACUCCCCUGGACUUUUCCACCAUACCCCUCAUCAUGGCUAUGGACCCUUGGGCAGCUUCGAAGUCACUUUGCAGUGACGCCUUGUCAUGCUCAAGCUCCUUUACCCUCUUCUCCAGGGCUAGCACUAUCUGCUUCACCAGGUGCAUGUCCACCUCCUCCCCGGUCCACUCGAUGAGCUCCCGGCUGCGAAUGAGCUGUCGAACCAGAGCAAUGACUCGGCUGAAGUUCUCAUUACUUGUUCCAGAGCCGCUUGGUCGAGAGCUGGCCUCGCCACCUUCAGCGGUAGCAGCGGAGGUUGGCAGUGGUGGUGGCGACACGAGAGGUCCCGGGAGAUCCCCCGAGCAAGCAGAAUCGCCCCCAGCAGGUGGAGUGGAUUGACCAAGUGGUUGGCCUGCUGGGGGAGGAGAUGGCGAUCGAGGAGUUGGGGAUGGCAGUUGUUGGGGAGAGGGAAGGCAUGUUGGCACUGGGGCAGGUUGAAUAGAAGGAGGCGAGGGUGAACCUUCCUCUAUCUCCACUACCUCAAUCUCCCCGGGCUGAAGAGAUGAAGCCCCCCCAACCGCUGGAAGUGUCCUCUUGCGGUGUAUGAGAGGAGAGUCAGAGCUCUCCUCUUUGGUUGAGGGAGCAGGAGCAGCAGCAGCAGCAGCAGAUGAAGGGAAGGCCUUCACCAGCUUCCUUCUUUUCCUUCCUGGCUCAGGGCCUUCAGCUGGCGCGACCGAGAGAGGAGGAGCUGCAAUAGGAUCGGUGGUGGAAGAAGAGGAAAAAGAAGUUUGGCAAGCUCCAGCAAAGCUUUCCUCCUAUCCUUCCCUGACAUCGUAUCUACAUCGAAGGGAAAAAGAAGAGUUAGAUGGCCUAGUUAUGCAAGUGAGUCAAAAUGUAUGCAAACAUGCAUGAGAAUGUGCAAGUAUCCUAAGAGGUGACAGAAGAAGAGCUACCUAUGUAUUUUUUCAAAGCCAACACAUCAAACUCAUGUUUGAUGAGGAGAGCAGAGUUGUACUUGGCCCCCAGGAACAGCCCACAUAGCUCGCGCUCGUAGGGGGCCAUGGCUUUGAGGUCCCGGGGUUUCUUGAAUUCAACCACAGGAACCCAGUAGAGGGGGCACCCCUCGAGCAAUGUUGGACUUUGCAGGGUGGCAGAUAUCAUGUAGAACCUGCCUUUCCAAUCUUUGAAGGAUUGCUAAUACAGGCCCAAGAGCACCCGUCCAGCAACCCCAUUCAGACUAACCCAGGACCUGUCCCCAGGGUUCUUCGCCUCGAAGAAGUAGAGGAACACAUCCACGGAGGCGUUAUGCCCGAAGUAAUUGCAGAAAAUUUCAAAUGCCCGGAUGAAGGCCCAGGCAUUUGGAUGGAGUUGGCAGGGUGCGACGUUCAGCUCCAUCAUCAGCUCCUUCUCGAAAAAGGUGAAGGGUAGGCGUAGCUUCAACCUUUUGAAGAUGGCGGAGUAGACGAAGAUGAAGGGCACCCCAUUGGUGGCCCUAUCGUCCGCACAGAUGGGCAUCCCUCGAGGAGGAAUGCAGACGCGGAUGUUGAAGUCGUUUUCCCGAUCGAUGGCGCAAGAGGGCUCAUCCGGGUCGCUGCUCAGGAGGGAUUUUAGGUGCCCUUGCGGCAGCAAGGUAGAGGUUUCGGCGAGCAACGCCAGGGGAGCCCAGUCAUAGACCCUGGCGUUGUCAUGGUAGGAGGUUGCAACGGGUGGUGGUGGAGAUGGAGCACUUGCGGAAGGCUGUGCACCAGAAGACGAGGCGAUGAUUCGAGCGGUCUGUUUCAAGCGAGCCAUUGAUAGAUAGCUGCAGUGGGGGAAAAGCGAAAAGUCAGAAUGAAUGGAAGGGGAGGGAAUGAUGAAUGGUUCGGUGAAAAACAGAGGAAGGGAAGGAGAAAGAAGGGUCCAGGCGGAAAGAGGAAGAGGGAGAAGCAGAGAGCGGAGUGAAGAAUGCUAGGGGAAGAUGGAUGCAUGAUGAUGAAAGGGGCGAAUGCAAUCGAUGAAAGGAACCUAAAUGGACCAAGAAAGAAGAAAAACCAUACCUUUGAAUGAUCGCGAAAGUUCUGAAGGUAGAAAGCUAGAAGAAAGAUGGAAGCGCAGAGAGGGGAUUCGCAGAGAGUUUGGGAGUUGAUUGAAGAAGAUGAAGAAACAGUAAAGGCGCGCGCCUAUUUGAAAAGAAGGGAAGCGCUAGCGACACUCCACGUUGACCGUUGAUGCGCCCACGUGUCGCGAGAUUAAGGGAGGUAGUCGUAACAUUAAAGGGCAGCACGUGAGGUAGCACGUCAUGUGGGCCCACUUGCCACGUGGACCGAAGGCGCGACCACUUAGUCUCUUCGCUGAGAACGAGUUCACAGCUCGAGACUGAGGGGCUUGUGAUCCGGUCGGUCAUCGGUGGUUGAUGAUGUCAGCAGAAGACAAUCACGUGGACCACUCGCAGGGUGACACGUGGAUCGGGUGACAGAGAGAUCAGGGAGCAGAUCACCUAGAGCGGUGAUCGGAGGUCAUCCAAGUGGCCACCGACAGACCAGUUGGCAGAGAAGUCAGGGGACAGAUCACCCAGAACGGUGAUCGGUGGUCAGUAACCAAGCGGGUCACCGACAGAUCAGUUCCCAGAUGAACACCUGGGAGCAGAACGCGAGAAGCAACAGAGCACCGAUCAAUCAUCGAGUGCAUGGUCAUCGGGGUCUCGUGUUACACGCAGUUAAGCUGGGACAGAGGUUCCCAGCAAGAGCGUUACACACAGACCUCGCAUGAACAUGUCUCAGAGAAUCGUGCAUGAGAGUGGCCUGAGGGGGCUAGUAAACCGGUCAGUGAUUGGUGACUCCCUCAACCCAUUACGUGCAUGACAUCGUGAAGGGGGAAUCGUUUGCGCAGAGAGCAAUGCCUGGUGAGUGUGCCUAGACCAGCCACACCUGGCGUUCUCCUGAGAGUAUGCGAUUUACCCAGAUGAAAGGAAUGCGCUAAGUUACCCCGCAAGGGAAUAACUUAGACACGCAGAGAGAAGCGCUAGAGCCCU